GUAGCGUCACUACUAUGUAUCGAGUAGCUAACAUCCCUGUAGUAAUGCUAUUUUUCCUCAAGUAGCGACGUUGUCUACAAAAGCUACAAUUUGUCCCCCAUCGAUUUUACUCAAUGAUUUUUGUUUUACUUUCUCUAUCCUGAAACCUAGGCAGUCACACAGGGGUUCCAAGACCCACCGGCGUAAAAUCAAGUCAAAGGCUGCUGUCUCAUAAUAUGGCGAAGACGAGUCACCUGAAGGCCUAACUCGCCAUAGAAGACUGAAAGAAUUGUCCUGCAGGAUGCUGUGUCCUGCAAUCCUGUGUGCUGUGCUACAGACGCAUGUGGAGGUCAACCCAAAAUGGGCACAGUCUCACCGCAGAAGAGUGAAAGAGGAUCCUGGCAGGGAGACGGUAGUGUCCUGCAGAAUGGUGAUGGGCCAAUCUUACAAGAGACCACAGAAAACUGAUAUAGUGAACUAUAGAAACAACAGUGCCUGCUGCAGUAUAAUGAGGACACCCUGAGCAGAGAGCUCCAAUAGACCCAGGUCCAGUGUCUUGGCAGUGUGAAAUGGCACUGAUAUGGUGUCCUGCAGGAUGCUGUGUCCUGCAAUCCUGUGUGCUGUGCUACAGACGCGUGUGGAGGUCAACCCAAAAUGGGCACAGUCUCACCACAGAAGAGUGAAAGAGGCUCCCAGAAGUGAGACUGAGUGCCUGUUGCAGUAUGACGAGGACGCAGUGACCAGAGACCUUCAGUAGACCCUGGCUGAAGAACAUGAAAUCAACUGCAAUGUUUAUAAUGUUGUACAUACCUGUAUAGUCUGUAUUAAAAGGCAGUACCUGUAGUAUUUUUCCUCUUACUUUCAUAUUUACCACAUAUUUACUAUGAAUUGACAACUUUUACUAAAAUCCAUUUUUGUACGUGCCCUGACUAAAACUAUCCUUAAACCUAACCUGACAGAGAUGUAACAACAACCUGCUCUUAGCAAUGUGGCAGCAGUCUACUUGGAUGCAGCGGGGAACAUGGAACCCUUUUUUGAAAAAGCAUUGUAUGUUUCUGAGUUUUAUGAAUUGUGCCCUUCCCAAACAUCAUGCAUAGGCUAAGCGUAUCUAUGACACGCUGAUUUGAACUCACUAUCGCGUGUGUCCAAUACGCAUUUUCAAGUUAAGUCGUGCUCCACAACGCCCUGUGACAGGUUAGGUUUAGGGAUGGUUUUGGUUUAGGCACAAUUUAGGU